UCGAUGACGUUCGGCGAGGUCUCCACCCGCUCCCGCGUGGGUUCUGAUGCACCUUCCCCGGUGUCAGAGGCCACGCACCGGGAAGCGGAUGGGGGCCUGGCCGCACGGGUCGGCUCGU
rfam:Thermobispora bispora DSM 43833, complete genome.